AUGGCUCUUACAAAGCAGACUGCCUGCAAAUCCACCGGUGGUGAAGCACCCAGAAAGCAAGUGGCUACAAAAGCCGCCUGCAAGAGUGCGCCCACUACUGGAAGGAUGAAGAAGCCUCAUUGUUACAGGCCGGUUCUGUGGCACUCCGAGAAAUUAAACAUUAUCAGAAGUCCACUGAACUUCCGAUUCGCAAACUUCCCUUUCAGUAUCUGGUGGAGAAAUUGCUCAGGACUUUAAAACAGAUCUGGGCUGCAGAGCGCAGCUACUGGUGCUUUGCAGGAGGCAAGUGAGGCCUAUCUGGUUGGCCUUUUUGAAGACACCAACCUGUGCGCUAUCCAUGCCAAACGUGUAACAAUUAUGCCAAAAGACAUCCAGCUAGCACGUUGCAUACGUGGAGAAUGUGC
rnacentral:lncRNA from 1 species